ACGCUCGUGUCCGCUCAGGCCACAGCCACGCAACUGCCGCCGCGCCGCGUGCUUGCGCGCUCGCAGUCGUCCGCCUCGACACGAUCUCUGCUCGUCACCCCGAGUCUGAGCUGCGUUCGGGCAUAGGAAGGAGACCAGCAACAGCCGUGCUCUCUUCUUGCUCAACCUCCCCAGCGCGCUCACCUCGUGGUCGCCCAAAUUGUUGGUUUCCUGGUGCCGGAGUCCUCUUCGCUAGACUGCAGCGAGCGCCGUCGUCCAAGCUCAUCGCGUUGGCACGUCCGUGCUGUCCCCGCGCCAGCGUCCCCUCCUGCUUGUUCGGUUGUCGAGCUCCUCCAUCGAUCUCUACCUCAUCGUACAGGCCGUCAGACGCUGCACCUUCAUCUCUGAUCUCGCCCGCCCUCGAUGUCGCGCUCGGAGCCAUCUCGCUCGCCCAGCCGGGUGUGCAGCAGUAGUCUCGCG